rnacentral:rRNA from 1 species
UACGGAGGAUGCAAGCGUUAUCCGGAAUGAUUGGGCGUAAAGCGUCCGCAGGUGGCUAUGUAAGUCUGCUGUUAAAGAGUGAGGCUCAACCUCAUAAGAGCAGUGGAAACUACAUGGCUAGAGUGCGUUCGGGGCAGAGGGAAUUCCUGGUGUAGCGGUGAAAUGCGUAGAGAUCAGGAAGAACACCGGUGGCGAAAGCGGUUCUCUGGGACGGUACUGACGCUGAGACGCGAAAGCGUGGGGAGCGAACAGG